GCGCAGCAGGGAUCGCAGACUCUAGGGGAGGGAGCACGUUCUCUCCUACCCAUUCCAGCACCUCCAAGGGAGUAUACUGGAAGGCAACUCAAGUUGAUGAGAGCUUCUGCUUUAGAAUCUCACUUCAGCAGCGUUAGUCCCACACUCCAUUGAAAAGGCCCAACAAACAGUGAAAAGAAAUGGACUUGAAAGCAACGUAUUGCAAUGCUGAAGACAAAGUAUUGGCUGGAAUGGUAUAUAUUUGGACAGUCAUAACUAUGAUAUUAAAGGAGACAGGCCACGUCUGACCUGCUGUUGAUAUAACCAUAGGCUGGCAACACAUGCCUCAAGAGCCGCACAACCUUCCAUCAUUCAAGAUUCGUGGAGGACAGAUGUUUUCCAUCAGAGUGAUAGUAUUUUUACACUGCUUUCAUUAAACUGUCAUUUCUUAAACUGCUUCAAUUUCAGGCGCCUUUUAUCGCUUUGUUAGUUUUAAUGCAUCUCUCUAUACGUUGGAUGACAGAGACGUAGCCCUGACUUUAAUUGUGUGUAUAUUUCCCAAAAAUUGGGCCAUACACACUCACAGGAGCCCCCUCUGGAAUUGCACCUAAUUGUGAAGUGAAAGCAAUAUGGGAGCAAGCACCAUAAAGAUCACUAGUUAUUCAUGACGUGGAGACUGAGAAGUAUUAUGUAUGUAUUAAAAUGCUUUGAAGUGAAACAUUUAUGCAACUCACUUUGAAAGAAUCAAUAACUUUGAUAUAUUAGUGCAGUUGAAAAUACUGUUCACUUAGCACAAAAUGGAUGUAAGACAGAAAUAAAAUGAAUGUUCAAAACCAACAGCUAUCUGGCAAACUCAAAAAACACCAUCAGUACAAUUGAACUAAAUGAUCCUUUCUGCAACUUCCUCUUUAAUGCAAAGGUUUAAAAGUGUCCAUUGUAUAUCAUUUUGAUAUUAAAUGGCAAUAUUUACUUGAAUUUCCUCAGUUAGAUUUAUUUUAUUUUAUUCUAUUGUUUUCAUGACUUAUAAGGUACAACCAUUAGAAUCUUAGUUCAAACGUAGGCUUAGAAGGGGAAAUUUAUUCCUAAACCAUAAUUAGUAGAGAAUGGUGACUGUUUGAACCAUUAUGCAUAAGAGUUAAUUGAUGAGAGAGAACC
rnacentral:lncRNA from 1 species